UUUUUUAGGAGUUUUACUACU
rnacentral:piRNA from 1 species